CUUGGCGUGUCGAACAAAAAUUGGCGUUCAGCACUGCUAUUUAAAGAUGGUUUGAUCAGUACUACAGAAAACCCAUAGAUUAUUGUAGGUAUCUAAGAAUGAUGAUGAUUACACUCGGAGCAAGCCUUGUUGCGACGCUACAAGUGUUGCCCUCCUCCUCCCCAAGGGCAAGAUGAAGGAAGGUGCCUGUGUGGUUCUUCUGCAGCUCGUAGCGAGGAUUGCUGUGUCCAACCUGCACAAGAAUGCCAAGAAGUCCUUCUCGGAGACGAUUAAGGACAUGUACCUGCACUACAACGAGAGAUCUGGGCUGCUUCUUUGUGGCUUCCAAACUUGAAAUGUUUGUUUGGAAGUUAGUUUAGUUUUUUGUUGUGGAUUCACAGCUUCUCACAUGUACCAUCCUCUUAGACCUUUAGAUUUCCAAAGAAACUAAAUGAAGAUGUGGUGGUAUGGUCUCAAUGAAGCGUUCCAUGCUUUAUAUUUUCUCUAAAAUUUUCUCCUGAAGAAUCAUGUAUCUAUGUUAGAUCCGGUGAGAAAAGAGGCGGCUUCCAAGCAGAGGAUGCAGGA